rnacentral:rRNA from 1 species
AGCCUGACGCAGUAACGCCGCGUGGAGGAUGAAGGCCUUCGGGUUGUAAACUCCUGGUCAGGGGGAACGACAGAGCAAGGGUGAUAAAUCCUUUUCUCUAGACGGUACCUCCAAAGGAAGCCCCGGCUAAUUCCGUGCCAGCACCGCGGUAAU